AUGUAUACGUAUGUAACAAACCUGCGCGUUGUGCACAUGUACCCUAGAACGGGUGAACAGCCUCCAUAUUCUGGAGUAGAGUCCUUCAUUCAUUCCUGAGUAUCCGGGAGGGAAUGCACAACAUUCUUAAUUGCACUUAUGAGGAGAGAACGUUCUCUUAACUUCUACUGGUUCUGGCAGGGUCUGGAAAAGGACUUGUGUCUUUGACCUUAAUUCAAUCAAGCCAGAUGGAGGAGGGAGACAAACAUUUUAAAGAAGCGCUUGGAAAAGAGAAGUUUUAUAGUGUUUUGAAUAUGCUGGUCUCUCAUCCUGGAGAUUCAGGCACCUACUUCUGUGCUUUGAGG